rnacentral:rRNA from 1 species
AUUGAACGCUGGCGGUAUGCUUAACACAUGCAAGUCGAACGGUAGCAGCUCUUCGGAGGCUGACGAGUGGCGGACGGGUGAGUAACGCGUAGGAAUCUGCCUGUUAGUGGGGGACAACGUGUGGAAACGCACGCUAAUACCGCAUACGCCCUACGGGGGAAAGGAGGGGACCUUCCGGCCUUUCGCUAACCGAUGAGCCUUCGUUCGAUUAGCUAGAUGGUGGGGUAAAGGCCUACCAUGGGGACGAUCUAUAGGUGUUCUGAGAGGAAGAUCAGCCACAGUGGGACUGAGACACGGCCAAGAAUCCUACGGGAGGCAGAAGUGGGGAAUAUUGGAAAAGGGGCGAAAGCCUGAACCAGCAAUACCGCGUGUGUGAAGAAGGCCUUAGGGUUGUAAAGCACUUUCAAUGGGGAGGAAAAAGAGUAAGCUAAUACCUUGCUUAUUGACAUUACCCAUACAAGAAGCACCGGCUAACUCCGUGCCAGCAGCCGCCGUAACAC